UUCAACAUAGUAGUUGUCUUCUGGUUCAAAUAUGCUCAAUUAUCGUUCAAUGGUUACACAUGUUAAGGCUAGUAUUUUUAAUACUCGUCAUCAUGCAAAUCUUACUACUUUAUGCUCUUCCAAUCUUAUUACAGCUCUAUUAGCCUCCACUGAACCCAAAGGGUUCAAAUCUGCUGCUAAGAAUCCAACCUGGAUUGUUGUCACGGAUGAAGAAAUAUGAGCUCUAUAGAAUAAUCAAACUUGGGUUUUGGUCCCUCGUCUUACCAACACCAAUAUUGUGGGCUUUAAAUAGGUGUUCCGAACCAAAUAUCAUUUUGAUGGCUCUAUUGACAGACUCAAAGCAUGUCUUUUCACAAAGGGUUAUGCGCAGUUUUCAGUGUUCUAGCGCAUCUGCAACUCUCAUUGUCUACUCUAAUGCUGACUGGGCUGAUUGUCCUGACACUCAUUGUUCAACUUUCGGGUAAUUUGGUUUCCUGGAGUGCUAAAAAGUAACCAAUUGUCUCUCGUUCCAGCUAUGAAUCUGAAUAUCAUACACUCACACAUAUUGCCACUGAACUCUUUUGGCUUACUCAUUUGUUGCGAUAUCUUAGGGUUUUUAUCUCUAACUUACCUCUCUUUCUAUGUGAUAACAAGAGUGCCCUAUUCAUGAGCUCUAAUCCAAUUACUCAUAAACGCACCAAGCAUGUUGAAUUAGACUGCCAUUUUUUACGCGAACUUACACUCACCAAUAGAAUUCACAAUCGUUAUGUGC